CAAGAAGUACAAUAUUUCACAUCUAUUUCUUGAGUCCUUUACUUUUGUACCUCCACCCCAUGAGCAUAAUGAGAAAUUAGAAAAACAAUUAGGGGUGCAGUUCAUAAGUUCAAAGUGGAAAGAUAAAUUUUAAGGCCAUCUCUUAGGAUACCUUGACGAAUUCCGAGUAAUCAAGGUACCUAUGGAUUUGUUCAGAAAGUCUGAG
rnacentral:lncRNA from 1 species